AGUGAACGCUGGCGGUAGGCCUAACACAUGCAAGUCGAACGGCAGCACAGUAAGAGCUUGCUCUUACGGGUGGCGAGUGGCGGACGGGUGAGGAAUACAUCGGAAUCUACUUUUUCGUGGGGGAUAACGUAGGGAAACUUAUGCUAAUACCGCAUACGACCUACGGGUGAAAGCAGGGGAUCUUCGGACCUUGCGCGAUUGAAUGAGCCGAUGUCGGAUUAGCUAGUUGGCGGGGUAAAGGCCCACCAAGGCGACGAUCCGUACCUGGUCUGAGAGGAUGUUCAGCCACACUGGAACUGGGACACGGUCCAGACUCCUACGGGAGGCAGCAGUGGGGAAUAUUGGACAAUGGGCGCAAGCCUGAUCCAGCCAUACCGCGUGGGUGAAGAAGGCCUUCGGGUUGUAAAGCCCUUUUGUUGGGAAAGAAAAGCAGCAGGUUAAUACCCCGCUGUUCUGACGGUACCCAAAGAAUAAGCACCGGCUAACUUCGUG
rnacentral:rRNA from 1 species